CCUACGGGCGGCAGCAGUGAGGAAUAUUGGUCAAUGGGCUUACGCCUGAACCAGCCAAGUCGCGUGAGGGAAGACUGCCCUAUGGGUUGUAAACCUCUUUUGUCAGGGAGCAACGCCGGCUACGUGUAGCCGGACUGAGAGUACCUGAAGAAAAAGCAUCGGCUAACUCCGUGCCAGCAGCCGCGGUAAUACGGAGGAUGCGAGCGUUAUCUGGAUUGAUUGGGGUUAAAGGGUGCGUAGGCGGAAGGCCAAGUCAGCGGCAAAAUAGCGGGGCUAAACCUCGCUCCGAAGUUGAAACUGGCGGUCUUGAGUGGGGGAGAAGUAUGCGGAAUGCGUGGUGUAGCGGUGAAAUGCAUAGAUA
rnacentral:rRNA from 1 species